GGCUGACACAAAUGGUGGGAGGUGCUCGUGCCUCUUUCAUGGCGAUCAGAAACGCACCGUUGCAGGUGGCGCUACUUCACUUAACACUGGGUGUGGGCGGAUUCAUCCGCCAAAAUUACAUCUUUGGUGGACGUCAGCGUGGACUUGGGUUGUCUUUUCACUUUCUUGCUAAUGUCCUUGGAUGAUCCACAACUUUUCCAAAGCAGGCCAAGCUAUAAAUAAAGGGUGGACUGACCUUGUCAACUGUUAAAUUGGAGCCAUGGUGCGUUACUUAGAACAUUGCGGAUGACCCCAAGCAGCACAGCAGACCAACGGCUGAGAAAGAGCUCAUUCGGCUCAUCUAACUAGGAUGCCGUCCUGCCAGAGCCCUGGGAGUUCUCAUCUCCUGGGGCAAGAGCAGCAUGCAACCCUUAUGAACCCAUCUUGAAGGGCAUUCGGGGAGCCCAAGACAAGACCAUUGGGAGCCUCAGGGUCACUUUGGGGGGUCUCUGUGCUGGAGGGCUGUACCUCUCAUGAAAUGGACAACUGACCAUAAGAAGGAGGUCAGUCUUUGUGGCUUGGGCAGCCAGCUUUUCAGA
rnacentral:lncRNA from 1 species